rnacentral:rRNA from 1 species
AACAAGGUUUCCGUAGGUGAACCUGCGGAAGGAUCAUUGCCGCUUGCCCGAGAAAACACGACCCAUGUGAACGUAACCUAACCCACCGCUGCCGGGGAGGCCUCGCCUCGCCGGCCCACCGGACGCGGCCCUCGCCCGGGCCGCGCGUCGGGAAUACGGCGCGGACCGCGCCAAGGAACACGAUAUGCCGAGGCGGCCGGCGGAGCGUGCUCUGCCUGCCGCCGACGCGAAGCAAUACAUGAUGACUCUCGGCAACGGAUAUCUCGGCUCUCGCAUCGAUGAAGAACGUAGCGAAAUGCGAUACGUGGUGUGAAUUGCAGAAUCCCGCGAACCAUCGAGUCUUUGAACGCAAGUUGCGCCCGAGGGAUCCGCCCGAGGGCACGCCUGCCUGGGCGUUAGAAGCCCAUCCACGCUCGGCGCUGAGCCGAUGCGGAUCGUGGCCCUCCGAGCCCGAGCGGCGCGGUGGGCCUAAGUGCGCGGCCGCCGGGAGGAGCCGGGAGCGGCGAGUGGUGGAACGCUGCGUCCGCCGCCCCGCGCCCCUCUGCCGGCGCGUGGCCUUGACCGACCCAAGAACGAGGAGCCGUGCCCACAGCGUCUGGGCGCCUUCGGAUCGCUACCAAUCUAAUGAUACGACUCCCCUUCCUAGAUAGAAAAACCCCA